GACGAACGCUGGCGGCGUGCCUAAUACAUGCAAGUCGAACGCUUUUUCUUUCACCGGAGCUUGCUCCACCGAAAGAAAAAGAGUGGCGAACGGGUGAGUAACACGUGGGUAACCUGCCCAUCAGAAGGGGAUAACACUUGGAAACAGGUGCUAAUACCGUAUAACACUAUUUUCCGCAUGGAAGAAAGUUGAAAGGCGCUUUUGCGUCACUGAUGGAUGGACCCGCGGUGCAUUAGCUAGUUGGUGAGGUAACGGCUCACCAAGGCAACGAUGCAUAGCCGACCUGAGAGGGUGAUCGGCCACACUGGGACUGAGACACGGCCCAGACUCCUACGGGAGGCAGCAGUAGGGAAUCUUCGGCAAUGGACGAAAGUCUGACCGAGCAACGCCGCGUGAGUGAAGAAGGUUUUCGAAUCGUAAAACUCUGUUGUUAGAGAAGAACAAGGAUGAGAGUAAAACGUUCAUCCCAGGACGGAUCUAACCAG
rnacentral:rRNA from 1 species